rnacentral:lncRNA from 1 species
UUGAAUAGAAGAAAAAGGUGAAAGAAGGCUGAAAUCUCUGCAUGUCUGAGCUAACACGCUGGUCUUCUCCUGCCCUCGGUGCUUCUGAUUCUCAGGCCUUUAGACUCAGACUGGAAUAUAAAUCAUUCAUUCUCCAGCUCUCAGACCUUUGAACACCACCAUCAGCUUUCCUAGGACUCUAGCUUGCAGAUGGUAGAUUACAAGACUUCUCAGCCUCCAUAAUCAUCCAGCAGUUAAGGGAAGCAGAAAGACUCCACGGGCCAGGCUGGGUGUCAGCAUCAGGAAACCAUUAGAAGGCAAAGAGGGAAGUAAAACCCAGUGGGAGAGGCCCUUCUUGUCCAGAGGGAUCUCCUACAGAAACCUUACCUACUGGAAAAUUUUCUUUUUUAAAAAUUAAAGAUUUGAUCCUUUUACAAGGCUAUGUGUUGGUCUGAUCAUAUGAAAAAUGUGGCAGAAAGAGAACUAUCCUACGUAUCUAGGUAGGCUUUCUCAUCGGCCACCUAGAAAUAAGAUUCUGAUGCCCCAAAUAUGGCACAGAAGUUGCAGAGCUGUGCUAAGCAGCACAAUGGACCACUCUGCUAUAAAACAAGAUGGGUGGACAAUUGAUAUCCAGAGGGGCCCACCUUGAUCCUGGGUGCUGAAACUUUGGCCCAACUGGUGAGAGGUAGGAGUUGGAAUGGGUCCUAGACUUAGGAAGCAAAACUCCCCCCAAAAACUACAUUUGAUUGCUGGCAAGAUGGCUGAAUAGGAACAGCUCUGGUCUGCAGCUCCCAGAGAGAUCGCGCAGAAGGUGGGUGAUUUCUGCAUUUCCAACUGAGGUACCUGGUUCAUCUCAUUAGGACGGGUUGGACAGUGGGUGCAACCCACGGAGGGCGAGCCCAAGCAAGCAGGGUGGGGCGUUGCCUCACCUGGGAAGCACAAGGGGUCGGGGGAUUUCCAGUUCCUAGCCAAGAGAAGCCGUGAGAGACUGUACUGGGAGGAACAGUGCACUCUGGCCCAGAUACUGCGCUUUUCCCAUGGUCUUCACAACCGGCAAACCAGGAGAUUCCCUCCCGUGCCUGGCCCGGUGGGUCCCACCUCCACGGCACCCAGCAAGCUAAGAUCCACUGGCUUGAAAUUCUCCCUGCUAGCACCGCAGUCUGAGGUUGGCCUGGGAUGCUGGAGCUUGGUGGGGGGAGGGGCGUCCACCAUUGCUGAGGCUUGAAUAGGUGGUUUUACCCUCACAGUGUAAACAAAGCCACGGGGAAGUUUGAACUGGGCGGAGUCCACCACAGCUCAGCAAGUCCGCUGCAGCCAGACUGACUCUCUAGACAGGGCAUCUCUGAAAAAACGACAGCAGCCCCAGUCAGGGACUUACAGAUAAAACCCUCAUCUCCCUGGGACAGAGCACCUGGGGGAAGGGGCGGCUGUGGGCACAGCUUCAGCGGACUUAAGCUCUACUGCCUGACAGCUCUUAAGAGAGCAGCGGAUCUCCCAGCACAGCGUUCAAGCUCUGGUAAGGGACAGGCUGCCUCCUCAAAUGGAGCCCUGACCCCUGUGUAUCCUGACUGGGAGACACCUCCCAGUAGGGGCCGACAGACACCUCAUACAGGAGAGCUCUUGCUGGCAUCUGGCAGGUGCCCCUCUGGGAUGAAGCUUCCAGAGGACGGAACAGGCAGCAAUCUUUGCUGUUCUGCAGCUCCGCUGGUGAUACCCAGGAAAACAGGGUCUGGAGUGGACCUCCAGCAAACUCCAGCAGACCUGCAGAAGAGGAGCCUGUUAGAAGGAAAACUAACUAACAGAAAGAAAUAGUAGCAACAUCGACAAAAAGGACGUCCACUCAGAAAUCCCAUCUGAAUGUCACCAACAUCAAAGACCAAAGCUAGAAAAAUCCACAAAGAUAGGGAGAAACCAGCGCUAAAAGGCUGAAAACUCCAAAAAUCAGAAGGCCUCUUCUCCUCCAAAGGAUCACAACUCCUCGCCAGCAAGGGAACAAAACUGGUGGAGAAUGAGUUUGACGAAUUGACAGUAGUAGCUUCAGAAGGUGGGUAAUAACAAACUCCUCUGAGCUGAAGAAGCAUGUUCUAACCCAAUGCAAAGAAGCUAAGAACGUUGAAAAAAAGUUAGAGGAAUUGCUAACUAGAAUAACAAGUUUAGAGAAGAACAUAAAUGAUCUGAUGGAGCUGAAAAACACAGCCAAGAACUUCGGGAAGCAUACACAAGUAUCAACAGCCAAAUCGAUCAAGCGGAAGAAAGCAUAUCAGAGAUUGAAGAUCAACUCAAUGAAAUAACACAAGAAGGCAAGAGUAGAGAAAAAAGAGUGAAAAGAAAUGAACAAAGCCUCCAAGAGAUAUGGGACUAUAUAUGAAAAGAUCAAAUCUACUUUUGAUUGGUGUACCUGAAAGUGACGGGGAGAAUGGAACCAAGGUGGAAAACACACUUCAGGAUAUUAUCCAGGAGAACUUCCCCAACCUAACAAGGCAGGCCAACAUACAAAUUCAGGAAAUACAGAGAACAACACAAAGAUAUUCCUCGAGAAGAGCAACCCCAAGACACAUAAUCGUCAGAUUCACCAAGGUUGAAAUGAAGGAAAAAAUGUUAAGUGCAUCCAGAGAGAAAGGCUGGGUUCAUAACCCUUAAAGAUAGAAACAUUUCCCCUCUGUAGGUGGCUCCUAAAACCCUGGACAUUUUACAUACUGGAGUCAGAUUCAAAAAUAAACUAUUUCCUUAUAUACCUGCCUCCUUUUUGAAAUAACGUUCCUUAUUUUUCUUAUCACCAGAUAUGGUUGCUGUUUUUUUCCCUCAAUUUGAUCAUUUGUUUUCCCUCUGGGACAUAAAAGUUGUGAUGAGGACUGGAAGUGGGAUCUAUAAACUGACUAGCACAGAGCCUAGCACUUG